GAUGAACGCUGGCGGCGUGCCUAAUACAUGCAAGUCGAACGGUAAAUAGUGUAGCAAUACAUUAUGAGAGUGACGUAAGGGUGCGUAACAAGUAUGCAAUCUGCCCUCAACGGGAGGAUAGCUCCCCGAAAGGGGAAUUAACACUCCAUAAGAUUGUGGAUCGGCAUCGAUCAGCAAUUAAAUCUCCGGAGGUUGAGGAUGAGCAUGCUUCUGAUUAGCUAGUUGGUAGUGUAACGGACUACCAAGGCGAUGAUCAGUAGGGGAACUGAGAGGUUGAUCCCCCACACUGGCACUGAGGUACGGGCCAGACUCCUACGGGAGGCAGCAGUAGGGAAUAUUGGUCAAUGGAUGGAAGUCUGAACCAGCCAUGCCGCGUGCAGGAAGAAGGCCUUCUGGGUUGUAAACUGCUUUUGCCAGGGGCUAAAAAGCCCAUGCGUGGGAAAUUGAAGGUACCUGGUGAAUAAGCCACGGCUAACUACGUGCCAGCCGCCGCCGUAA
rnacentral:rRNA from 1 species